GGAUUAUUCCCUUCCCACGCCCCACCCCAGACGAGACAGCGUCUCACUAUUACAUAUCCCCUGCUGGCCUGGAACUCUACAUAAACCAGUUGACCUCAAAUUCUCAAGAGUUCUGCCUCUACCUCUUCUGCCUCCCAAAGGCUGGGAUUAAAGGUGUGUGCCACCACGCCAGGCCGAGCUUUUAAAAAUAUAUGUCUAGAGUAAUACACAUAUAAUAAUUCUCAUUUUAUGUAAAGGACAUUUCCUAAGGGGAAAACCCCGCCCUCCGGGCUUAAGCAUUGAAAACAACAGACUUUUGCCCACACAGAACUGAGCCUAGUUGGGGAGGGUGCCCCCUGGUGGUCCGAAUUGGGAAAACAGCUCUCCCAGUGUGCGUACAAAAGAGAAUUUCAAAGUGUCAGCCGCAGGGCCGAUUAGGCCGGGAUGGGAGUGGGUAUCCUGUGUAAUUUAGAAUAGCUUCCAGGGAAUCCUAAAAGGCCUCUUCUCAUCGAAGGCUGAAGAGCUAACUCCCUUAGACAAGCUUCAGCAUGUUUGCCAACCUUGGAAUUAAAAUUUUGGACUCCUUUUCUUUGGCAACGGAUCCCAUAUCUGGCAUCUUCCAGUUAGUGCUUUGAAGCAGUUUUCCCUAUGAUGCAAUUUAUCAUCCAGACUAUGGGACAUUUAUGACUCCAUAAUUACAGGGAUAACAGGUAAGAACAUCUCAAGUCAAGCUGACUCAUCUUUAUGUCCACCCACACUGAGAAGACAUGAGCACUUUCCAUUUUAACUCUUUCCAAAGGACCGGGGAUAGAAGACACGAAGGAAGCCAGAGUCACCCUGUGAUCCUGGGAUGAGGACGCCAGUGAAAGACAUCCUAAAUAAGGAUGCAGCUCUCUCAGCUCCAGCACCACAUCUGCCUGCAGCUGCCAUGCUCCCUGUCAUGAUGAUAACGGACUGAACCUCUGAAACUGUAGGCCCAUCAAUCAAUCAUGAGGAUCAAAAUCUGAAGAAAUACAAUUCGUUCUCCAACAUGUUUUUGGAAAUGCCACAAAUGUCCUGUGAUGGAGAGCAUCUACAGUCUUCGGAUGGAGUUAAUUGAUGCCCCGGUUACCUGGCAUUGAUUUUAGCAAUGGUGCUGGCCUCUGCGCGCUCUCCCCACCACUACCAGAUGCCACCGAGUAAGAGUUCAUCUUCUUCGAGGCUCUACUCAGACAUCACGACCCAAAUCACACCUUAAUGUCCAUAGCUCAAUGGAAACACUCCGGGAGGGUACCUAGGAUAUGUAAAGAGAUGCUACAGAGCAAUAGAGAAAUAGGAAAAAUGCAUUAGGUUCACAGUGAGGGCUGGGAGUAUAGCUCACUAGUAAAGUGUUUGCUUAACCUACGUGAACCCAGAACCAUGAAAAAACAAAACAAAACAAAAACAACAACAGGGACAGGAAAAGCACAGCGAAAUGCCACCAUCUGCUUAUCAGAGUCUCCAAUGAAAAGGAGAAGCAUCUUCAAGUUAAUAAAUUAUAUUUGUGUAAUUAAUAAUUAAGAUCCAUUUUAAAUAUUUAAACAAUCUAA